AGUCCCUGGAGAGGUCUCACCCCUCACCGAGAUGCACUCAGGGCCUAUUAGAUGAAACAGACUCAAAAAGUUAACCAACUUGUCCAAGCUCAUAUAGCCAGCAAAGUGGAGAACAGGAAUUCAAAUCCAUGAAGUCUUUGCAGUCUCAACAGAAAAGAAACAAUAAAUAUCACAUUAUACGAUAAGCCAAGCAAGCAAGCAGAGAACUGGGGAUCCCACAAUAACGUCAAGGAAGAAGGCACCAUGACUCAGGACCCAGAGGUAGGCAAGUUCCAAGGACAGCACAGGGCAAGCCCGGCUGGGAGGGUGGCAGAAUUCCUUGAGUCUAGGUCCCUCUCAGGCUUGGCUGGAGAGCAAUCUAGGAAGUCCAGGGACCAAAAUAGUGGCAAUACUGGCCAAAGCACAGAUGCCCAGGUCCUGGCAAGAGGAUGGAGAAAACAUAUCUGGGUAUCAGGGUCACAAUAUAAGAAAUUAGUAAAGCUGACAGUUGCAACCUGAAGAUAGCGUUGAGUGUUGUCUAUCAAACUACAUCUAUUUUUAUUUGCAUGUUAAGAAUUUGAGUACUGGUGCCUAAUUGCUUUUAUCUUCUUAAGAUGGCUUUUAUGGAGUCAACUCUAAGCCAGACUUUGAUUCUCCUCUUUCAUCCCUUCUCCAACUUUUCCCAAACAUAUUUUCUCCCUACCUCCAUGUCUCUUUGUUCAAUAUGGCCUCUUCCUCUGCCUCUCAGUAUACUAAUACAGUGGAACGGUAUGGACACACAUACUUUACGCAAGUGUGCACACGUACAUAUACACACACUACUCAUGCUCAUAUAGGUCUAUUAGUAUUGCCUCCAAUAAUGGUAGUAGUGUCUUUUGGUCACUCAUUCAUUCAUUCAGCAAAGGUUUAUUUAAUACGCAUCAUGUGCCAGGACUGUGCUGGUGCUGAGGAGAGAAUAAUGAGCACAGGCAAAUAUACUCCUCCAGCUCCUGGAGUAUAUUACAGUCCAGUCUAGCAGGAGAGACCAUCAGAUAAUUGCACUAAUGAAUGAAAAGUCACCGUUAUUCAUGCAUUCAUUCCAAAAACAUUUAGCAUGUGCUGUUUUCCCAAGAGCUGGUGGCACACAAAGGAGAAACACUCCUGGACUCUGUCCUUGAAGAGCACAUGAGGAGCAGAAGAGCCAGGACGCAAACAUUUGUAUAGGACCUCCGAUGGACCAGGCACUGUGCUCAGUGCUUCACAGGAAUGAAUAAAAUUUCCACACCAGAAGCUGGAUGUCCCAGAUUGGUGAGUUAAAGUGCAGACUGGCCCAGUCCCACCGUCUUGAGUUUCCCUGUCGUUUGUUUUCUUCUUUAAUGAGUGAAACCUAAAGAAACCCCAGAUGGCUCCCUCCUUCUACAUCAACAGUGUCAACAUUGCAGGUUUCAACCCUAAAAGUGGGAAUAACAUUGAUCAAGUUCAGCCCCUGUCACUUUCUCUUUUAGCCAAGCUUAAUGUUGAGGUCAUCAUAUCCUCCAAAUCCCCUGCUAUGAGUCUCUUCCUGGGUGGAAGAUAUUUGAUGAUGUCACCACUCAUCAGCUUGAAAAUUGGUAGAGCCUCAGACACUGUGGGUGAGCGCAUCUUCAAGGUUUUUGUCCUUCCAGUCUUCACUUCAUUAAAAGUGCUCUUUCUAUAAUUUAUAGGGGUGACCCCAGAAGAAGCAGCAAGUGUCUACAUGACUCACACUAUUAGACAUUCCCUCCGCUGUAAAAAGAUGGCUCAGAGAGCUGCAGCACACCCGCUCAGUGCCACUCUGUGGCUAUGGAAAAUUGGGGGUGUGUGGGUUUCCUGUGUCAGAAAGUUGGCCCUGGUAGGGGCCUGAUCCUGGUGGCCAAGGCAGUAGGAAAACUUGUGGCCAGUGGCAGGAUAGGACUGUAUCCCCUUCCUCACCCCUGAAGCCAUCACAAAGGCAGAUUCUGGUUUCUUGAAUACUCCCUGAGCCAGCGUAGCUUCCACAAGUCGGGAAUCCAGAAGUGGAUUUAGACUAAUUGAUUAGCUUGGGGAAGCCCCUGUGUUGACUUUUACAACCUCCAGAAAUAAAUACCAUAUGAAUUCGACGUGAUUAAUGUGGACGCAAAUGUCAAAGAAAGUAAUGAAGAUUUGACACUUAUUAAAAAGUGUUGCCAGAAAAAUAUGAAUGAUUAUUUUAAUAUAAGCGCCAAGAGGAGCAUGUCUCCGUGCUUUUCUUUAAUUUCCCCACAGGCUUCUGUGCACGCCAUCCCCUUGUGAAGCAA